rnacentral:rRNA from 1 species
CUGCCAUGGCAGUAACGGGUAACGAAGAAUUAGGGUUCGAUUUCGGAGAGGGAGCAUGAGAAACGGCUACCACAUCUAAGGAAGGCAGCAGGCGCGUAAAUUACCCAAUCCUGACUCAGGGAGGUAGUGACAAGAAGUAGCAAACCGGGAACCUCAUGGUUUCACGGUAUUGCAAUGAGAACAAUUUAAAACCCUUAGCGAGAAUCAAGUGGAGGACAAGUCUGGUGCCAGCACCCGCGGUAAUUCCAGCUCCACUAGCGUAUAUUAAAGUUGUUGCAGUUAAAAAGCUCGUAGUUGAACCUCUGUCUGGGGCUAGUUUUGGCUUUGGUCAGGCUAGUUCUAGGCAUCCGCCUACAAGACUUAGAGGGCAUUCAGUUGUUCACUAGGAGGAGUAGGCAUUUUACUUUGAAAAAAUUAGAGUGUUUAAGGCAGGCAAUCGCCCGCAUAUAUUAGCAUGGAAUAAUAGAAUAGGACACUUUUCCAUUUCGUUGGUUAUUGGAAUCGUGUAAUGAUUAAUAGGGACAGUUGUGGGCAUUUGUAUUUAAUUGUCAGAGGUGAAAUUCUUGGAUUUAUUAAAGACAAACUAACGCGAAAGCAUUUGCCAAGGAUGUUUUCAUUAAUCAAGAACGAAAGUUAGGGGAUCAAGGACGAUCAGAUACCGUCCUAGUCUUAACUAUAAACUAUUCCGACUCAAUGUUUGACUGGCUUAUAUAACCAGUUGAGCGUUGUAUGAGAAAUCAAAGUCUUUAGGUUCUGGGGGGAGUAUGGUUGCAAAGCUGAAACUUAAAGGAAUUGACGGAAGAGCACAACCAGGAGUGGAUUCUGCGGCUUAAUUUGACUCAACACGGGGAAACUUACCAGGUUAAAACAAUAGUGGGAUUGACAGUUUGAGAGCGCUUUCUUGAUUGGUUGGGUGGUGGUGCAUGGCCGUUCUUAGUUGGUGGAGUGAUUUGUCUGCUUAAUUGCGUUAACGAACGAGACCUUAACCUGCUUACUAGACUGGCGAUCAUCAAUCGUUAGCUCUUCUUAGAGGGACUUUGGUUGUUUUAACUCCAAGGAAGUUUGAGGCAAUAACAGGUCUGUGAUGCCCUUAGAUAUCCUGGGCCGCACGCGUCAUACAAUGACUAGUUCAGAAAGUUUUCUCCUGACCCGAAAGGGGAUGGGUAUCUUGAUAAUACUAGUCGUGUUAGGGAUCGAUCUUUGCAAUUAUAGAUCUUGAACGAGGAAUUCCUAGUAAGUGCGUUUCAUCAGACCGUACUGAUUACGUCCCUGCUCUUUGUACACACCGCCCGUCGCUUCUACCGAGUGGGUGGUCCGGUGAGAUAAUUGAACUUCGCAGGUAACUGAGAGGAAAGAUUAUCAAACCUAUCCACCUCGAGGAAGAAGAAGUCGUAACAAGGUU